UUUAAAGGGAGCCGUUUGUGUUGUUUAUCUCCCACUAGAGGAGAGAGCUGAAAUCAGCAUAAAUCAUGUACUCUACAUCAUUACUGCUGCUUUUGGCAGCAAUGACCUGUGUGGAAUGUAAUAUUGUCCUCACUCAGCCAAACUCUAUAGUUCUGCAGCCGGGACAAUCAUUUACUCUCACAUGUGAGGUGUCUGGAUAUUCUGUUACCGACAAUAGCUACGCGACAGCCUGGAUACGACAUCCUGCAGGAAAAGCUCUGGAGUGGAUUGUGCACAUAUGGGGAGGUGGAGGCAUAACCAAAAAAGACUCACUGGCAAACAAGUUCAGUAUCUCCAAAAGUGACUCCAGCAGCACAGUGACUCUUAAUGGAAAAAAUCUACAGACUGAGGACACAGCUGUGUAUUACUGUGCCAGACGACCACAACAUGAGAAAACAGCACAAGCACUGUACAUGAACUACUAUAGUCAACAUCCUUUCUGUUUCUACAAAAAAAAAAAAAAUCUCAUUCAUGACUUUAUAACCACCAUUAUAUUAUCACUCAUGUAUUAAGUAUGACACUUAAAG